UACGUAGGGUGCAAGCGUUGUCCGGAAUUAUUGGGCGUAAAGAGCUCGUAGGCGGUUCGUCGCGUCGGCUGUGAAAACCCGGAGCUCAACUCCGGGCCUGCAGUCGAUACGGGCGGACUUGAGUGUUGCAGGGGAGAGUGGAAUUCCUGGUGUAGCGGUGAAAUGCGCAGAUAUCAGGAAGAACACCCGUGGCGAAGGCGGCUCUCUGGGACGGUACUGACGCUGAGACGCGAAAGCGUGGGGAGCGAACAGG
rnacentral:rRNA from 1 species